UUAUAUUUUUUCAUGAUUAAGACUUCCUAAUUAAUUUAGUCUAUAAAGUUAUUAUUCAUAAAUUAAAACAAAAUAUUCAGGAUCUAUUUUCCUUGUAAUGGUCGUUGUGUGUGGGACAGCUUGGUUUUGGUGGUCGCUAGACCAGAUCUUUGCUGUAGACCGAUGAGUUGACGGCGGCUUUAGAAAGCGCCUAGCUAGCCUAGCAUUUUACUUAGAAUUUGAGGCUAAAAGAUUAAACAAUUGCAAUGAGUUCCGAUAUUGAAGACCACGUUUUGAAAAAAUAUGAAAUCAAGAAAAGAUUAGGAAAAGGCGCAUAUGGAAUAGUGUGGAAAGCAAUUGAUAGAAAAACAGGAGAGGUUGUUGCCUUAAAGAAAAUAUUUGAUGCAUUCCGAAAUCAAACAGACGCACAGCGAACGUUUAGAGAGAUAAUGUUUCUUCAGGAAUUUGGUGAUCAUGAGAAUAUUGUCAAGUUAUUAAAUGUUAUGAAAGCGGAGAAUGACAAAGAUAUAUACCUGGUGUUUGAAUUCAUGGAUACGGAUUUACAUGCAGUGAUAAAGAAAGGUGGAAUUCUAAAGGAUGUACACAAGAGAUACAUCAUGUACCAACUUCUAAAAGCAACUAAAUACUUGCACUCUGGAAAUGUCAUACAUAGAGAUAAGAAGCCAUCAAACUUAUUAUUAGAUUCCGAAUGCUUUCUGAAAGUUGCUGAUUUUGGUCUGGCGCGCUCAAUUACACAACUGGAAGACGACUUUGAUCACACGAACCCAGCACUUACUGAAUAUGUGGCAACCAGAUGGUACCGUGCUCCAGAGAUUCUUUUGGCUUCCAAAAGAUACACAAAAGGAGUUGAUAUGUGGAGUAUAGGUUGUAUACUUGGUGAAUUAUUGAAGGGUAAACCCCUUUUUCCAGGAACAUCAACAUUUAAUCAAAUUGAAAGAAUCAUGAGCCUGAUUGAAAGACCUUCAAAGCAAGAUGUUGAGGCGAUCCAGUCCAACUAUGGCGCAACAGUAUUAGACAAAGCAUGCGUAAGGCAUAGGCAAACAUUUGAAGACAUUCUGCCAGAUGCACCGGCGGAUGCUAUAGACCUCCUAGCCAAACUCCUUCCUUUCAACCCUGACAAGAGACUGACUGCUGAACAAGCCCUUGCACAUCCAUACGUUGCUAGGUUUCAUAAUCCAGAUGAGGAGAUUUCAUUAGAUUAUGAUGUUGUACCUCCAUUAGAUGACGAUGUGCAAUUAUCUAUUAACGAAUACAGAGAAAAGCUUUAUGAGAUGAUGCGAGAGAAAAAGUCACAAAGUAGGAGAAUACGAAGAGAGAUUAAGAGCGCCCCAACAACCAAAGAAAUUCCCCCACCUGCAGAGCCUUACCAUUCUGAAAUAGUUACAUCACACCGUGCCAAUGGCCUAUUAUCAGGAAGGCCAAAGUCAGCAGCACUGAACGCUUCAGGGGCAGCGCCCUCUGCCUAUGCUCAAUAUUCAGAACGUAAAUUGCAACGACCACCGUUGUGUGCCAACACGGUGCGUCAACCUUUAGGCAACUCCAAACAUCCUUACCACGGUUCUUCCUCACUCUUGCCAGGUCGUACAAAUCGAAAUCAAUAUGCGACAAUAGGAAACGUGCACAGAUCAUCUAGGGUUGCGGAUUAUGUAACUAGCCAACAAUCUAAAGAAGGUGGAAACAUAGUUAAUGGAUAUGCAAAUGAGAACACUCAUCGGUCUGCAAGAAAACCAGUUGUGCAUCAACGAACCCGCUCUUUUUCAGCCGGUAUGAAGAAUGCAACAAUCACACGAGACAGUGAUAGGGGUACAUCAAGCAAUGAGAGUUUAGGAAUGAAAACCUCUAAAGUGAUUCCACAACAAAGACCCAUCUCAGCUAAGGAUUCCAGCAGGCAACAGCAACAGAGAACUGUCUCCUAUGGACGCAAACAAUUCGGAUUGAAAAACACAGGUUCAUCUGGAGCUCCGAAGUCAGCGCUAGGCAGCUACAGCCAGUCAUAUGGGACGGUUAAAGCCAGCACAUUAGGACAAUUGAAAACUAUGAAAUGGUAACACAGAUACUUGCGUUGUCGUUCAAGUUGUCAGGGCUGAAAAUUAACAAUUCAUAUAUUUUGACUAAAUUAUGCUCAUUUCAGCUACAAUGCUUUGUGUAUUUUAAUUGGCAGAAAAUACGACAGCCAUCUUGUAUGGUAUACAACACACAGCUCUGCAUAUUUCGAACAUCGAAUACAUUGGAGUUAGCGCUUUAGUAUUCUUAUUAUGGUUCAUUUACUAUAAAUCAUCUGACAAAAGUAUAACUGUGUAUUUGUUCACUGCAUUACAUGGGAUUGUGCCACAUUAGUACUCUGCGACAAUCAUUCCUGGCAUGUGCAAUCCAAACUACUUAUAUCAUGGAUUAUACUAUGGUCACAUGCAUUUUUGUACCUUGAAUAUCUCAUAAAUUUUACCUCCACUCCACCUCCACUGGUGAUAAUUAAAGAUAAUACUGGUAUACCUUGAAUAAUUUGUGCCCUGGUAUCAUACCAUUGACCACCUGAACCAUGCCAUAGACAUUAUGUUACAUGGACCUUAUAUACCUUGGAUUUUUCAUUCCCUGUAUCAUCAUGGACCAUUCCUAGUAGUGAUGUACCAUGGACCGUCUGCACCAUGAUAUUGUGAACCAUUCAUACCAUGCACCAUUAUUCCUGCUCAUUAAUAAUUCAUUUGUUUACUGUAUUGAUGUUUGCCAUUAAAUACUAGAAAAUAUUGUCUAUAUAAGAGUAGUACUUAAUUUUGCUAUAUAAUGUUUACCUAAAGAUGUAUUUAUCUGGCAUAUCUUUAAAUAUAUAAAACUCAAGUUUUGAUAUGAAAAAUACUGUAAUCUUUAAAUAUUUUUAUUAUUUAUUAUGCUUUCAAUGCGUUACUGUUGUGAAAUACUGUUUAGAUAUUGACUAAAACUCUGGCUAAUGGCAGUGACUAUAGGGAGGGAAGCACCCUUCCCAAACCAUCCCUCUUAGGUCAUGAUCCUCUACUGCCCUACUAGAAAUGGCAGUGAUUAUAGGGGGGAAGCACCCUUCCCAAAUCAUCCCUCUUAGGUCAUGGCCCUCUACUGCCCUACCAGAAAUAUCUGGAUAUGGCCAAAGUUUUAAAAUGUAUUUAUUUGUCAGUAAAUUUAAAGGGGCAUCUGUCCCUCCUGCUCCUACUUAGAUCCAUCACUCUGUGUUAUACAGUAAUUUGUUAAUUGUUUGUAUUGCACCAAUUUUUACUUGUAUUAUUUGUAAGAUAAUAUAUAUCUAUUCACAAUCCGUCCUUUGUUUUAUUUGCAAUGAUGUUAAUGUAUUCCAAAUGAAGAUUAGUUUUUGUUUGUGUGUUGUACUGAAGUGUGAGUAAUUAUAGAUUCCUUGUCCAUCGUAAUAAACAACUUAUUUUCCCCUAAUAUUUAUACCUUGUGAUUAAAGUAGCUUUUUUGUUUUUUAGAAGAAAAAAAAUUGGCUAUACAAAAGUUGUGUUUUAAAUCUAUUAUAAGAUUGUUUAAAACAUUUUACAUAGAGCACAGUCAGACCUGAUUGGCUCCCCAAUCAAUGCUAGUCUGUGUUAUGCAUAUACGCUUCUAUUGGUCUGUGUACAUUUUUUUUUUUGACUGGAACCAGCCAGGCUCCAUGAUGCAACACUUGGUUUUCUAUAUGGCAUUGAUAAAAUAAAUAAUAAAUUCUCAAUAUUUAGAGACCGUAUCAUCACAGCUAAUUAUAUAGGCCUACUAUGUAAAGGAGAACAAGUUUUAACAAUCUAAUUUGACUUUUUGUGUUUAUUUUCAUAGGGUAUUAUGAAAGGUAUAAUAUUACUUAUACUGUAAACUUUAAUAACAGCACAAUAGCAUUUUUAUAUGUAUGGGGUAAUAAAAAACGUGCGAUUUAAAACAAAGUGAAAGGUAGUAAGACGAUGGGGUUGCCAGCAAUGUGAAGUUUAAUAAGAGGCUGUGAUUAAAAAAGAAGGAAGGGGUUAUAUGAGAGUGUGGCUGCAACAAGGGAAGGUGAAAUAUAAUGUAUGGAGAGGAAGAGAGGGGUAACAGCGGGGAUUUAAAAUAUGAGGAGGAAUAGUAUGAGGGUGUGCUUGACAACAAAGGGAGGGUAAUAAGAGGGUGAGAGUGACUAUAGUACAUGUGGAUGGAAAAUAUCAGUGUCAUUGACAAGAAAGAGGGUAAUGAAAGUGCAUGACAGGAAGUCAUAUAAUGGGUUGGGUUUGAUAAAGGGAGGGGUAAUAGCAGUGGGUUAACAGAGUGUGAGGGUAAUAAAUCAUGGGCGGUUUGACAAGAGAUGGGUAAUACUGUUAGUAAGGAGGGAAAUAAUAUAAAAUUAUAGGUGUAUAUCAUAAUGUUAGAAGUUCUGUUGAUAAAGUCAAAUAAAGAUACAGAGACGAUGUUCA
rnacentral:misc_RNA from 1 species